AACGAACGCUGGCGGCGCGCCUAACACAUGCAAGUCGAACGAGAAUCCGGGGCAACCCGGUAGUAAAGUGGCAAACGGGUGAGGAAUACAUGGGUAACCUACCCUUGAGAAGGGAAUAACCCGCCGAAAGGUGAGCUAAUACCCUAUACGCUAUCUUUUUUCGAAAGGAUAGGAAAGCCGGGUCGAGGGCCUGGUACUCAAGGAGGGGCUCAUGUCCUAUCAGCUUGUUGGUGGGGUAACGGCCUACCAAGGCUACGACGGGUAGCUGGUCUGAGAGGAUGAUCAGCCACACUGGCACUGAGAUACGGGCCAGACUCCUACGGGAGGCAGCAGUGAGGAAUAUUGCGCAAUGGGCGAAAGCCUGACGCAGCGACG
rnacentral:rRNA from 1 species